AUUGAACGCUGGCGGCAUGCCUUACACAUGCAAGUCGAACGGUAACAGGUCUUCGGAUGCUGACGAGUGGCGAACGGGUGAGUAAUACAUCGGAACGUGCCUAGUAGUGGGGGAUAACUACUCGAAAGAGUGGCUAAUACCGCAUGAGAUCUACGGAUGAAAGCAGGGGAUCGCAAGACCUUGUGCUACUAGAGCGGCCGAUGGCAGAUUAGGUAGUUGGUGGGAUAAAAGCUUACCAAGCCGACGAUCUGUAGCUGGUCUGAGAGGACGAUCAGCCACACUGGGACUGAGACACGGCCCAGACUCCUACGGGAGGCAGAAGUGGGGAAUUUUGGACAAUGGGCGCAAGCCUGAUCCAGCAAUGCCGCGCGCAGGAUGAAGGCCUUCGGGUUGUAAACUGCUUUUGUACGGAACGAAAAGCCCUGGGUUAAUACCCUGGGGUCAUGACGGUACCGUAAGAAUAAGCACCGGCUAACUACGUGCCAGCCGCCGCAGUAA
rnacentral:rRNA from 1 species